rnacentral:rRNA from 1 species
AAUAGAUACCCAGGUAGUCCAUGCCGUAAACGUUGGGCACUAGGUGUGGGGCUCAUUCCACGAGUUCCGUGCCGCAGCAAACGCAUUAAGUGCCCCGCCUGGGGAGUACGGCCGCAAGGCUAAAACUCAAAGAAAUUGACGGGGGCCCGCACAAGCGGCGGAGCAUGCGGAUUAAUUCGAUGCAACGCGAAGAACCUUACCAAGGCUUGACAUACACCGGAAACUUCCAGAGAUGGUUGCCCCGCAAGGUCGGUGUACAGGUGGUGCAUGGUUGUCGUCAGCUCGUGUCGUGAGAUGUUGGGUUAAGUCCCGCAACGAGCGCAACCCUCGUCCUAUGUUGCCAGCGGGUCAUGCCGGGGACUCAUAGGAGACUGCCGGGGUCAACUCGGAGGAAGGUGGGGAUGACGUCAAAUCAUCAUGCCCCUUAUGUCUUGGGCUUCACGCAUGCUACAAUGGCCGGUACAAAGGGCUGCGAUACCGCGAGGUGGAGCGAAUCCCAAAAAGCCGGUCUCAGUUCGGAUUGGGGUCUGC